rnacentral:rRNA from 1 species
AUGGGAAAUUGGAUCAACUCGUUCCCGAUAAGCCGUAGAUGCCUGGUGCUCAUUGGGGGUGUUGCGAUCUGUUGGCCCAUAUGGAAAACUAGGAAUAGAGCUUGUUUUGAUUAAAAAAUCCCUGAUGAUCCUUCUUAUGUGAUAUAUAAGCUUUGCUAUUUGUUGAAAUCUUGGAGCAGAUUGCACAAAACGCAAGACAGAAGCGUAAGUGAAGAUGGUGUACUAAAGAUCAGGAAGGUGUUGUGGGAUUUAUAUAUUAGAAGAUUUGGCUGGAAUCUGUUGGGUAGAAGAAUAUGCGAAAGAGGAGUGCAAGAUCUAGAUGCGUGA